CGGACGGGUGUCAACGACGUGAGAAUCUGUCCUCAGGAGGGGGAUAACUGCUGGAAACGGCCGCUAAUACCCCAUAUGCCGAGAGGUGAAACGAAUUUCCCCUGAGGAUGAGCUCGCGUCUGAUUAGCUAGUUGGUGGAGUAACGGCCUACCAAGGCAUCGAUCAGUAGCUGCUCUGAGAGGAUGAUCAGCCACACUGGGACUGAGACACGGCCCAGACUCGUACGGGAGGCAGCAGUGGCGAAUUUUCCGCAAUGGGCGCAAGCCUGACGGAGCAACGCCGCGUGAGGGAUGAAGGCCUCUGGGCUGUAAACCUCUUUUAUCAAGGAAGAAGAUCUGACGGUACUUGAUGAAUAAGCCACGGCUAAUUCCGUGCCAGCAGCCGCGGUAAUACGGGAGUGGCAAGCGUUAUCCGGAAUUAUUGGGCGUAAAGCGUCCGCAGGCGGUCUUGUAAGUCUGUCGUUAAAGCGUGGAGCUUAACUCCAUUUGAGCGAUGGAAACUGUAAGACUAGAGUGUGGUAGGGGCAGAGGGAAUUCCCGGUGUAGCGGUGAAAUGCGUAGAUAUCGGGAAGAACACCAGUGGCGAAGGCGCUUUGCUGGGCCAUAACUGACGCUCAUGGACGAAAGCCAGGGGAGCGAAAGGGAUUAGAUACCCCUGUAGUC
rnacentral:rRNA from 1 species